GACGAACGCUGGCGGCGUGCUUAACACAUGCAAGUCGAACGGAAAGGCCCUGCUUGCAGGGUACUCGAGUGGCGAACGGGUGAGUAACACGUGGGUGAUCUGCCCUGCACUUCGGGAUAAGCCUGGUAAACUGGGUCUAAUACCGGAUAUGACCUUCCCUGUAGUGUGGGGGGUGGAAAGAUUUAUCGGUGUGGGAUGAGCCCGCGGCCUAUCAGCUUGUUGGUGGGGUAAUGGCCUACCAAGGCGUCGACGGGUAGCCGGCCUGAGAGGGUGGACGGCCACAUUGGGACUGAGAUACGGCCCAGACUCCUACGGGAGGCAGCAGUGGGGAAUAUUGCACAAUGGGCGGAAGCCUUAUGCAGCGACGCCGCGUGGGGGAUGACGGCCUUCGGGUUGUAAACCUCUUUCGACAGGGACGAAGCUUCGGUGACGGUACCUGUAUAAGAAGCACCGGCUAACUACGUG
rnacentral:rRNA from 1 species